rnacentral:rRNA from 1 species
CUACUCUUGACAUCCACGGAAUUGUGCAGAGAUGCGCAAGUGCCUUCGGGAACCGUGAGACAGGUGCUGCAUGGCUGUCGUCAGCUCGUGUCGUGAAAUGUUGGGUUAAGUCCCGCAACGAGCGCAACCCUUGUCCUUUGUUGCCAGCGCGUAGAGGCGGGAACUCAAAGGAGACUGCCGGUGAUAAACCGGAGGAAGGUGGGGACGACGUCAAGUCAUCAUGGCCCUUACGAGUAGGGCUACACACGUGCUACAAUGGCGUAUACAAAGGGAUGCGAACCUGCGAGGGAAAGCGGAACUCAGAAAGUACGUCGUAGUCCGGAUUAGAGUCUGCAACUCGACUCCAUGAAGUCGGAAUCGCUAGUAAUCGUAGAUCAGAAUGCUACGGUGAAUACGUUCCC